rnacentral:misc_RNA from 1 species
GAUGAAGAACGCAGCAAAAUGCGAUAAGUAAUGUGAAUUGCAGAAUUCAGUGAAUCAUCGAAUCUUUGAACGCACAUUGCGCCCGCCAGUAUUCUGGCGGGCAUGCCUGUUCGAGCGUCAUUUCAACCCUCAAGCCCUCGGGUUUGGUGUUGGGGAUCGGCGAGCCUUUCUGGCAAGCCGGCCCCGAAAUCUAGUGGCGGUCUCGCUGCAGCCUCCAUUGCGUAGUAGUAAAACCCUCGCAACUGGAACGCGGCGCGGCCAAGCCGUUAAACCCCCAACUUCUGAAUGUUGACCUCGGAUCAGGUAGGAAUACCCGCUGAACUUAAGCAUAUCAAUAAGCGAGGA